rnacentral:rRNA from 1 species
CAUGCGGCGCAUUAGCUAGUCGGCGGGGUAACGGCCCACCGAGGCGACGAUGCGUAGGGGUUCUGAGAGGAAGGUCCCCCACACUGGUACUGAGACACGGACCAGACUCCUACGGGAGGCAGCAGUGAGGAAUAUUGGUCAAUGGGCGGGAGCCUGAACCAGCCAAGUCGCGUGAGGGAAGACGGUCCUAUGGAUUGUAAACCUCUUUUGCAGGGGAGCAAGGCGCGGUACGUGUACCGCGAAGGAGAGUACCCUGAGAAAAAGCAUCGGCUAACUCCGUGCCAGCAGCCGCGGUAAUACGGAGGAUGCGAGCGUUAUCCGGAUUUAUUGGGUUUAAAGGGUGCGCAGGCGGACUGUUAAGUCAGCGGUAAAAUGUCGGUGCUCAACACCGGCCGGCCGUUGAAACUGGCAGCCUUGAGUGAGCGAGAAGUAUGCGGAAUGCGUGGUGUAGCGGUGAAAUGCAUAGAUAUCACGCAGAACUCCGAUUGCGAAGGCAGCAUACCGGCGCUCAACUGACGCUCAGGCACGGAAGCGUGGGUAUCGAACAGGCUUAGAUACCCUGGUAGUCCACGCAGUAAACGAUGAAUGCUCACUGUCCGGGCCGUUUAAGGCCUGG